AUGAAAUUGGUGAUUGCUGCAAAUUUCUCAAUCUUCCUUACCAUAAAGAGGCUGAGAAGGCGUAUCCAAGAGACUUUAUGCAGAGAGGGAGGGUGAGGGUAUUGCUAAAACAAGAAGAUGGGAGUUUGUGUAAUCCUGAGAUUUCGUCGAGUAAGAAUUUCUUCAUUGUGCCUUUUUUUGGUUGCUUAUUGUGGUGAUGCGUAGCAUGUGUUGUGAUAUUUUGGAAUUGGAAUUUAUUAUAUUCAUUGGCCUUGAGAUAGUCAUAUUUGAUAAGGAUAGUCAGACAUGGGUACUACACUACUACUAGGACGACUAAAAUUGUUGUUGUUGGAUAGAAAUGUCUGAGUAUGUGAUCAGUUGCAAGCUUAUACUAUCAAAGACAAUGUAAUCUUAGCUGCUAAGCUUGAAGUUGGCACUGAGCUUUUUGGUGGGGUUGCUACUCUGAUUAUCUCAUUGCUUGAAGGAUAAUUGGACGCCUCUGCAGUUUUGGCCACUUCUCAAAGGUUAGAUUGGGCCAUUAUAGCUUAUGUGUACAUGAAUUUAUUACGGGCUACUCCUUGUUUAUCUAGCAUUGAUGCUAGGAGCUACAGAUAAAAAGGUCACUCCAUAGUUGUUAAUCUUCAGUGUAAGUUGAUAUUGGUUAGCCAGGUACUUCGGAUGUAUUCACAUUAAGGAACGACGAAUUAUACAUUUAUAUGCUAUCAUUAGUUAGGUUUAGGGAGCUGGAUGGGGAGUUCUGCCCGCUCUCUCCUCUCUUGUUUAAGGGGGCAGGGUCACAAGGAGGGUGUUACAUAGAAUUAUGGAAUGGUAAAUCCAUCUAAAAGAGGGUUGCUUUGUCCACUCUCAUGAGUCAUGAUUAAACUUCCCUGUUUUAUAUAUUUCAGCUGAAGGAUACGGAGAACUUCAUAGUUCAUACUCCGUACUAGUUUAGGGUUUACCAAAAAUCUUAUUUUAAGGUGGAAUGUUUCUAUGAACUAAACCAGCAUUAAAAAAUUCCCAGACUCUGCGUUAAAUAAUGCGAGCCUUAUGCACUGGUACGACCUUUUAGAAGUUUGCAGGGGAGGCCGGGUAAAAAUAUUGACAGAAGAUUGCUGAAAAUGUUACAAACAUCUUGAAUUAUUUAUUAUGCUUUGCUAAAAUGGCUGAUAUGUAUAGAUUAUGACUAGUACUAUUAUUCUGACUAGGUUAGAGAAUUUGUUUGACUGCCUGUGUUGUUUAAUGUUUUGUUAGGGUUGAUUGUUACAUCAUAAGAAUUUUUUAUUUUUCACUCCAUUUUCCGGUAAGCUUGAGAAUUCCUGAAAUUGGAUAAGAUAGGAGAAUAAAAAAAAUAGUCCCUUGUUAUGUUUGUAUGUAUGUUAAUCACAUUAUAAUAACUUUGUCUACUUGAACAAGCUAACUCAAUUCAAAGUAUUCUUUGCUGUAUGUAUUAUAUUUCUGUCAACCUUAUACAAGUUUAAUUAUCACUCAAAUUAAAGUAGCAGUAGCCAGUUUUUUACUGUUUCUGAUAAACUUGAAGGUAGUUAAACCUCAUUAACCAUGAGCUAAGGCAGGUUUGAAAUCUGUCGUUUCACGGCUUAGCUACUGUUUAGAGGUUUGAGAAAGAGACUGAAUGGUGAAAUUAUUUGGUAGUGCUAUUUUUACUGAUGAUAAACAAAGAUAAACUUCAGUCUCGUAGUCUAUGAUGCAGUUUCUGACAGUUUUAAUGUUUGAUUCUACUCUGGUUUAAUCAGAAAAUGCUAUCAGUUAAGGAGUUUUGAUUUCUUGUUUCAUCAAUUUGGCAUUUUUCAAACAUUAAUCCCAUUAUUCUUGCCACAAAUACUUUGUUUUCCAUAAGAAUGAAUACUAUGAUUCAUCUUUUAAUAGAAGCAUCUAUUGGAUAAAAUUCUGUAGUCAAUAUCAUUUGGUGCUUGGUCGUCCCACCCGAGUUUCAGAUUUAUGACUAGUUGGCUGAUCGUAGAAGUUUCAUUCUGACUGCAUGCCAGACUCUCUCCCUAUCAAUCUAUGUAUUAUUAACCCACCCUUCUAUUUCUUGUGCGCGCAUACACACACACAUACACUUUUUCUUGGUCGUUUACAUUUUGUAAAGUGUAAAUUCUGAUAAUAAGGUGGAGGACAGCAUAUUCGGAUGCCGACUAAUAGGCGAGAUGGAAUGUUUCUGCAAUAUCAGACGUCGGGCCUAAUAUCAUAGAUGAUAUGACAAGAUUUUUGGCGCUAAAGAUUGAGUUUGACUGAUCUAGUCAAUCUGUCAGGUUUUCAAAACUCCAAGGAAGGGGCCCUUUACCAAAGAGGGGUUGGAUGAAGUUCGAGACAAGUGGGCUACUUAUUUCAACGAUUGUGAAGUACCCUCAGUGUAAUAAAUAGAGCAGGCUUGUAGUUAUCCGUGACUCUUACAUUACUUUGUUAUUUAUUGAUUUAAUUAAUCACAUUUGAAUUAAUUCGGUUAUAUUAUUGGAAAUUUGAAAUUUAUAUCAUUUUUGAGGAAUGUCAAGCUGAUGUUUGGUGAAA